CCUACGGGAGGCAGCAGUGGGGAAUAUUGGACAAUGGGCGCAAGCCUGAUCCAGCCAUACCGCGUGUGUGAAGAAGGCCUUUUGGUUGUAAAGCACUUUAAGCGAGGAGGAGGCUCUUGAGGAUAAUACCCUUGAUGAGUGGACGUUACUCGCAGAAUAAGCACCGGCUAACUCUGUGCCAGCAGCCGCGGUAAUACAGAGGGUGCGAGCGUUAAUCGGAAUUACUGGGCGUAAAGCGCGCGUAGGCGGCUUGUUAAGUCGGAUGUGAAAUCCCCGGGCUCAACCUGGGCACUGCAUUCGAUACUGGCAAGCUAGAGUAUGGGAGAGGAAGGUAGAAUUCCAGGUGUAGCGGUGAAAUGCGUAGAGAUCUGGAGGAAUACCGAUGGCGAAGGCAGCCUUCUGGCCUAAUACUGACGCUGAGGUGCGAAAGCAUGGGGAGCAAACAGGAUUAGAUACCCUGGUAGUCCAUGCCGUAAAACGAUGUCAACUAGCCGUUGGGGACCUUGAGUCUUUAGUGGCGCNGCGUAACGUACGAGUUAAGUUAGUACGACCGUUCGGGUAGGUUAGGGUUCGGCGAGAACGAAACGUUAACGAAACGAAAGUUAGAGGACGNGNGGAGAGCGACGGACGACGACAGGAGGAGGNG
rnacentral:rRNA from 1 species